CCACAUUUGGGAACCCUAUUAUAAACUCUUGGGUAUAUAUUAUACUCUGUAAAGUAGCUACAACAGUUUGGAUUUUUUCUUUUAAUGGCCAGAACCAUUAUGUGCUAUAGAACUUGGAUUUGAUCCAUAAUGCUUCACAGUCUACCGGCAAUCUCUAGAGCCCAGAGCUCUGGGACUGAUUCCAACCCGUCAGUAGGUCAGCACUGGAAGAGAAAGAAGCUGCUGUCCAGAGUGCCACAAAUGGAAACAAAAGAAGAGAAAUGAUUAUCAGGACAAAGAAACUGAAAAGAGAGGUUAAGAAAACUGUCCAAGGUCACACAGCAAGCGUGUGGUGAUGUUUUAUUAACUCAGGUGGCUGACUCUGAAGGUCUGCUCUUUCCAUGCUCUGCACCACAGACUGUCAAAGCACCCUCAGCUCAACCUUAACUAAUCACCACAAAUGUCAACAGCCAAAGCCAAUGAAAGAAGGUGAUCUUGGAUGCCAUGUUUUGAAAAUGGCCAUAACUCAAGAUGGAAAAACCCUUGAUUCCCUAGUCACAGAGGCAGCCAGGAGAGCUGUCCAACUAUGAACAACUGCACUGAAUUUUGAUAAGAACUUCUAGGAGAAUCAGAUUUGAGUUCCUGAAUCAGCGGUUAGAGUACAGAAGACAGAAGAGGUCAGAAGGUAAGAGCACGGAUCUGGAUAUCCCACACACUAGGGAUUGAGUCCUGGAAAUACCACCUGCACACCCUCUGAACCCAUAAGGAGCCUGACAUACAAGCUUUUAAUAUAUUAACUAUCAUUAUUGCUAAGGAAAUAAGAUACUUUCAAACAUUUGGUAAAAUGAAUACUCUUGGAAGACAGACUUCCAUUUUGAAUCAUCUCUGAAAACUUCACAGUACCCAGCACAGGAUCUUAUUACAAGUGCUGGCUGUCCCCUUCCAAAUGUGAAGUUGUCACUAGAAAGUGGCUGCCCCAUUGGGAAAUAUAUUUCUCAACCACCUUGCAUUUAGGUAUGGUUAUGUGAUUUGUUCAUUCUGAUAGCAUGAGAGCAGAAGGUGGUUAAAAACAGUGGAAUCUUUUCAAACUUCUUUUCCUUUGGCUUGGAUAAAUGCAGAGUACUCAAGACUCUAGAAGAUGGUGGAGGCAUGGAGUGGAAAGAUUCUAGCUCUCAAAAUUCUGCCAGUCACUUGCAUUGUACUGUUUCCAUGAAUGAAAAUGAAACCUUAUCGUAUUAGGCCACUGAAAUGCGGGGCUCUAUUUAUUACUGCAACUAGCAUUGCCUUGACUAAUAUUGCCACCUUCGUUCCCUAGGGCUGCCAUAACAAAAUACCACAAAGUGGAUGGCUUUAAAGAACAGAAAUUUAUUGUCUCACAGCCCUGGAGUCUAGGAGUCUAAAUUCAGGGCAUUAGCAGAGCAAUGCUCUCUCUGUCAACGCUAGGGGGAAAUUCUUCCUUGUCUUUUCCAGCUUCUGAUAGCUCUGGAUGUUUCUUGGCUUUUUUUUUUGUUGUUGUUGUUGUUGUUUUUGGCUUUUAGAUGCAUCUUCACAUGGCAUCUGUCUUCCUCCAGUGUGAUUCUGACUCCUGUUUUCCGCUCUUAUAAGACACAACUCAGAAGAGAUUAGGACCCAACCUACUCCAGUAUGGAGCAGCGAUUAAAGCGUUUGACUGCUAACUGAAUCCACCAGCCACUCCUUGGAAACCCUA